AAACAGGGCGCCGGGUCCGCGGUCAAUCGAGGUCGAGUUGGCUGCGCAUGGCAACGGCCGCCUCGGCGGGCGACAUGGCCCUGACGCGCGCCAGAUCAAAGAGGACAAUUUGUUUGCGUCCGUCUGGCCGUUGAAUGCGCCCUACAUGCCGCCAUGCGAGGUCGUCGUGACAGAGCCCGUGUGCGGCCAUGCGCUCGAUGGCAUGGACCACCUCGGCUCGUGUCUGCGGAUCCACACAAAGGACGCCUCUGUUUGGCGUCAUCGCGACCGCAUAGGCAAAAGGCAUGAGGAGCGCCGGGCGUCCGGCUAGAUGCAGCACGCGCGCCUCGUCCACGCCCCACAGGGAUCGCCACAGUUGCAUCUCGCGGUACAAAGACGCGGGCUGGACUUUGCCGCAGUCGGCGUUGCGACCCCGUCUGUCGCCGUGGCCAAACUUGAGAACACAACCGCGCGCGUGCCACGCAUCGCCGCGCGAUCGGCAUACCCAGGCGCGGCCGUCGAGGCCUGCGCCCAAGUAGGUGGUCAAGAGGAAGCGGUCGCCAUCUUUGCCGACCCGAUCCCUGGCAAUUAUUUGAUGUUUGCUGUCGGCGCCAUUGUCGGCGCAAUCGGCGUCGCUGUCCGUGUCCAGCGAUACCCAAGACACGGCCGCAGAGUCGACGCACGCGACCAAAGACGAUCUCUCGGUCGCGGCCGUGCCGACGACGGUCGCCAGUGCCGCCGCCAUGUCGUCAAACACGCCGACCAAAAGACGGGCGAGACCAGUGUCGUCGACGUGAUAUGCGCGUGUGCCACACACGCAGACUACAUUGCCAUCCGUAAAGUGCUCCUCGGUGUCCGCAUCGCGGGCAACAGAGGGCGCCCCGUCGGCAAACCAAAAGAGGCGCCAGGUGCCGGCGGCCACAACGACGACAACGGGCUUGGCAACGCCUCGGUAGACAUGCAAGACCAUGAGCCAGUCGGGUACAAUCGCGGCAAGGUCCCCAUGGUCACCGUCGUCGUUGUUGUUGUAGACCAGGACGACUCCCGUAUAGCGUCGGUCAUGCGGUCCGUCAACGAGACGACUGCCGUGUGAGGCGCCACGACAGGUCUCUAGGCCGAGGCCGAUCGCAUCCUCGUGCAUGGCCAAGAGACCGUCGGCGCCACAAAAGGCCCUCGGACCGCUGUUGGGAUAGCGCUCCCUGAGCAUAGCCGACAGCGCCGAGAGGACGCACGUUGUCGGAUUGCCCGAUCGCGUCUUUUGCAACUGACCCCUCGCGCUGGCGAUUGCCGCGUCCGAGAGCGCCGGCGUCGCCAGAGGGACGGCGGCGGGCCGAGGUCGGCGGCCCGCGGUCGCCAUUCCCAGUGCCGAGUCACCCUUUUUUUCCCUUUUUUUUG
rnacentral:lncRNA from 1 species